GGAGGAUUAGCUCAGCUGGGAGAGCACCUGCCUUACAAGCAGGGGGUCGGCGGUUCGAUCCCGUCAUCCUGCACCA
rnacentral:tRNA from 1 species